UCCUAAUCGCUUAAAAAUCAUCCAUUGAACAUUUCCCCUAACCUUUUAGCUUUGAUUUCUAGAGUUUUAGAGUUUAAUUUAAUUUUUAGGUCGCCUGUGUUCUUCAUUUUCAUGGUGAAAAACUCCCCACUCAUAGGCAAUCAUUGGCUCAUGAGUGGGGAGAAUAUUUUGUUUAUGAUCAUGCAACAUAUCUUGAUGCUUAAAGUUGAUUAAAAACUCAUGUUUUAGAUUUUGGAUUAUGAGUUGAUUCGAGGUUGAAGACGACAAUGGU
rnacentral:lncRNA from 1 species